rnacentral:rRNA from 2 species
AAAGAUUAAGCCAUGCAUGUCUAAGUAUAAGCAAUUUAUACAGUGAAACUGCGAAUGGCUCAUUAAAUCAGUUAUCGUUUAUUUGAUCGUACCUUUACUACUUGGAUAACCGUGGUAAUUCUAGAGCUAAUACAUGCUUAAAAUCCCAACUUCGGAAGGGAUGUAUUUAUUAGAUAAAAAAUCAAUGCUUUUCGGAGCUCUUUGAUGAUUCAUAAUAACUUUUCGAAUCGCAUGGCCUUGUGCCGGCGAUGGUUCAUUCAAAUUUCUGCCCUAUCAACUUUCGAUGGUAGGAUAGUGGCCUACCAUGGUUUCAACGGGUAACGGGGAAUAAGGGUUCGAUUCCGGAGAGGGAGCCUGAGAAACGGCUACCACAUCCAAGGAAGGCAGCAGGCGCGCAAAUUACCCAAUCCCGAUACGGGGAGGUAGUGACAAUAAAUAACGAUAUAGGGCCCUUCGGGUCUUAUAAUUGGAAUGAGUACAAUGUAAAUACCUUAACGAGGAACAAUUGGAGGGCAAGUCUGGUGCCAGCAGCCGCGGUAAUUCCAGCUCCAAAAGCGUAUAUUAAAGUUGUUGCAGUUAAAAAGCUCGUAGUUGAACUUUGGGCUUGGUUAGCCGGUCCGCUUUUUGCGAGUACUGACCUAACCGAGCCUUUCCUUCUGGCUAACCUUCUCCUCCGGGAGUUGGCGAACCAGGACUUUUACUUUGAAAAAAUUAGAGUGUUCAAAGCAGGCCUUUGCUCGAAUAUAUUAGCAUGGAAUAAUAGAAUAGGACGUUAUGGUUCUAUUUUGUUGGUUUCUAGGACCAUCGUAAUGAUUAAUAGGGAUGGACAGGGGAAUUAGUAUUCAAUAGUCAGAGGUGAAAUUCUUGGAUUUAUUGAAGACUAACUACUGCGAAAGCAUUUUCCAGGCACACUCCUGCUAAUCAAGAACGAAAGUUAGGGGAUCGAAGAUGAUCAGAUACCGUCGUAGUCUUAACCAUAAACUAUGCCGACUAGGGAUCGGGUGGUGUUCUUUUUUUGACGCACUCGGCACCUUACGAGAA